rnacentral:ncRNA from 1 species
GCCCUCAACCUAUUCUCAAACUUUAAAUUGGUAAGAAGCCCGACUCGCUCGUUUGGAGCCGGGCAUGGAAUGCGAGUGCCAAGUGGGCCACUCUUGGUAAGCAGGACUGGCGAUGCGGGAUGAACCGAACGCCGGGUUAAGGCGCCCGACGCGACGCUCAUCAGAGCCCACAAAAGGUGUUGGUUGAUAUAGACAGCAGGACGGUGGCCAUGGAAGUCGGAAACCGCUAAGGAGUGUGUAACAACUCACCUGCCGAAUCAAUCAGCCCUGAAAAUGGAUGGCGCUGGAGCGUCGGGCCUAUACCCGGCCGUCGCGGCGGUACGAGCAUCGAGUUGGUGCGCUAGGCCGCGACGAGUAGGAGGGCCGCGGCGGCGGGCGUAGAAGCCUAGGGCGCGAGCCCGGGUGGAGCAGCCGUCGGUGCAGAUCUUGGUGGUAGUAGCAAAUAUUCAAAUGAGAACUUUGAAGGCCGAAAUGGAGAAGGGUUCCAUGUGAACAGCAGUUGAACAUGGGUCAGUCGACCCUAAGGGAUAGGCGAAGGCCGUUCUGAAGCGGGGUGAUGUUCGCGUCGCCCCGGCGGACCGAAAGGGAAUCGGGUUAAUAUUCCCGAACCUCGACGCGGAGAUUGGCGCUCCGGCGCCUAGUGCGGCAACGCAAACGAACUCGGAAACGCCGACGUGGGUCCCGGGAAGAGUUCUCUUUUCUUGGUAAGGGGCAGCCCCUGUAGUCGGUUCGCCCGGAGAUAG